UACGUAGGCAGCGAGCGUUGUUCGGAAUUACUGGGCGUAAAGAGUGUGUAGGCGGUGCUCUAAGUUCGGUGUGAAAUCUCCCGGCUUAACUGGGAGGGUGCGCCGGAAACUGGAGUGCUCGAACGUGGGAGAGGAAAGCGGAAUUCCUGGUGUAGCGGUGAAAUGCGUAGAUAUCAGGAGGAACACCGGUGGCGAAGGCGGGUCCCUGGGCUAACACUGACGCUGAGGCGCGAAAGCGCGGGGAGCGAACGGG
rnacentral:rRNA from 1 species